rnacentral:rRNA from 1 species
AGUGAACGCUGGCGGUAGGCCUAACACAUGCAAGUCGAACGGCAGCACAGUAAGAGCUUGCUCUUACGGGUGGCGAGUGGCGGACGGGUGAGGAAUACAUCGGAAUCUACUUUUUCGUGGGGGAUAACGUAGGGAAACUUACGCUAAUACCGCAUACGACCUGCGGGUGAAAGCAGGGGAUCUUCGGACCUUGCGCGAUUGAAUGAGCCGAUGUCGGAUUAGCUAGUUGGCGGGGUAAAGGCCCACCAAGGCGACGAUCCGUAGCUGGUCUGAGAGGAUGAUCAGCCACACUGGAACUGAGACACGGUCCAGACUCCUGCGGGAGGCAGCAGUGGGGAAUAUUGGACAAUGGGCGCAAGCCUGAUCCAGCCAUACCGCGUGGGUGAAGAAGGCCUUCGGGUUGUAAAGCCCUUUUGUUGGGAAAGAAAAGCAGCAGGUUAAUACCCCGCUGUUCUGACGGUACCCAAAGAAUAAGCACCGGCUAACUUCGUG